rnacentral:ncRNA from 3 species
UGCCCGCAUUCUCCACCA